rnacentral:RNase_P_RNA from 1 species
CAGGCUGGUCAGAUGGUCGCGGAGCCUUCGGGCUUCGAGGAAAGUCCGCUCUCCACAGAGCAAACCGCCGGGUAACUCCCGGGGCGGGGCAACCUGCCGGAUCGGGCCACAGAGACAUACCGCCUCGUAAGGGGUAAGGGUGAAAAGGUGGUGUAGAGACCACCGGCGUCUGCAGUAAUGCAGCGGCCAGGCAACCCCCGGUUGGAGCAAGGCCAAGCAGAGACCAAUUUCAUCUUCGGAUGAAGGGAAGCGGCUCGUUUUCUUAUGAGUCUCGGGUAGGCUGCAUGAGUCUGACGGAAACGUCAGACCUAGAGAGAUGACCAUUAAAUCUGGAGCCGUGCUUCGGCAUACCCUUCAGAUUACAGAAAGCGGCUUAUAGACCGGCCUGGGUU